UACGAAGGGUGCAAGCGUUACUCGGAAUUACUGGGCGUAAAGCGUGCGUAGGUGGUUUGUUAAGUCUGUUGUGAAAGCCCCGGGCUCAACCUGGGAAUGGCAAUGGAUACUGGCAAGCUAGAGUCCGGUAGGGGAGCAUGGAAUUCCUGGUGUAGCGGUGAAAUGCGCAGAUAUCAGGAGGAACACCAGCGGCGAAGGCGGUGCUCUGGGCCGGUACUGACACUGAGGAGCGAAAGCGUGGGUAGCAAACAGG
rnacentral:rRNA from 1 species